rnacentral:rRNA from 1 species
AAUUCCCCAAAGCGGAGGAAAAGAAACCAACAGGGAUUACCUCAGUAACGGCGAGUGAAGCGGUAACAGCUCAAAUUUGAAAGCUAGCUCUUUUAGGGUUCGCAUUGUAAUUUGUAGAAGAUGCUUCGGGUGUGGCCCCGGUCUAAGUUCCUUGGAACAGGACGUCAUAGAGGGUGAGAAUCCCGUAUGUGACUGGGUGCUUUCGCUCAUGUGAAGCUCUUUCGACGAGUCGAGUUGUUUGGGAAUGCAGCUCAAAAUGGGUGGUAAAUUUCAUCUAAAGCUAAAUAUUGGCCAGAGACCGAUAGCGCACAAGUAGAGUGAUCGAAAGAUGAAAAGCACUUUGGAAAGAGAGUUAAACAGUACGUGAAAUUGUUGAAAGGGAAGCGCUUGCAACCAGACUUGCGCGCUGAUGAUCAUCCGGGCUUCUGCCCGGUGCACUCGUCUGCGCUCAGGCCAGCAUCGGUUUCGGUGGUGGGAUAAAGGCCUUGGGAAUGUAGCUCCUCUCGGGGAGUGUUAUAGCCCUCGGUGCAAUGCCGCCUACCGGGACCGAGGACCGCGCUCGGCUAGGAUGCUGCG